rnacentral:sRNA from 1 species
ACCUCAGGAACGCAGACUAAGAUCGCCUCGGCCUGUGGCAACGUCUGCAUGACUCGCAUCCUCCCAA